GGUUGAUCCUGCCGGACCUGACUGCUAUCGUAUUGGUACUAAGCCAUGCGAGUCGUUGUACAAUACAAGGCGGACGGCUCAGUAACACGUAGUCAACCUAACUCGUGGACGUGGAUAACCUCGGGAAACUGAGAAUAAACCACGAUAGAUCAUUAUGCCUGGAAUGGCUUAUGGUCCAAAUAGUUUACUGCCAUGGGAUGGGACUGCGGCCUAUCAGCUUGUUGGUGAGGUAAUGGCCCACCAAGGCUAUAACAGGUACGGGCUCUGAGAGGAGAAGCCCGGAGAUGGGUACUGAGACACGGACCCAGGCCCUAUGGGGCGCAGCAGGCGAGAAACCUUAGCAAUGUGCGAAAGCACGACUGGGUCAGUCCGAGUGAUUCCUGAUAAAGGAGUCUUUUGCUUGUCCUAAAAGCACAGGUGAAUAAGGGGUGGGCAAGUCUGGUGUCAGCCGCCGCGGUAAUACCAGCACCUCGAGUGGUCAGGACGUUUAUUGGGCCUAAAGCAUCCGUAGCCGGCUCUGCAAGUCUUCGGUUAAAUCCACCUGCUCAACAGAUGGGCCGCUGGAGAUACUACAGAGCUAGGGAGUGGGAGAGGCAGACGGUAUUCAGUGGGUAGGGGU
rnacentral:rRNA from 1 species